AUCGGUCACCACAAAAUUCAAAAAGACAAGGUCUUUGUCUGUUGCUCAGGAUGGAGUGUAGUGGUGCCAUAGCACACUGUAAUCUUGAAUUUCUGGACUACUGGCAUACACCACCAUGCUUAGGUUCGGGCCACAACAUCCGUGACUUUACCGGUUUUGGUCUCUUCCUUGUAACUUUCGGCUCCAGGAUGCUGCGCAGCUCCUCUCUGCACUAUCUAUCAGAACGUUGCUCUGCGUGCUUGAAAGUUUCGCCAAACAGAAGUACACAAAAACAAACAGAGGCGAAACACAAAUCCCCUCAGCCCUGGAGGAAAAGGCCUUGAAGCUCUUCCAGUGCAGAGGCCACGCAGAGGACAUGCUCCUACCUGUGCACAUCGGCCACGCCUGGGGUGCCUCCUGGAGUCCAGGCUGCUGGCGAUGGAAUCCAUCAUGUUGCUGAUGUCACUACUCUCAACUCCUGAUGGCAUCAGAACACAGGCAGCAUCAAGAUCAGGCUCAAGAUGCAGGAUUUUAUCAUCCAAAUCAGGCCCACAUAUGGAUGAAACCCUUCAGGUAUUCUGCACAUCUCUCAGGAAACCCAGAUGAAAUUGAGUGCCUGCUGCCCACAUCAGCAACCCAGACAUCCCACUUGAUUCUGCUUCUGGAGCCUAAGAUGGGAAAAUGGCAGGUGUCGCAGGUUGCAGGGGAAGGUCGGAGACCAGUUGAGGGCCCCGGAGUCUGUCUGGAAAGAGUUUUCCAUCCAGCCCGUCUCGGUUUCCGCAUCCGUGUGAGUCCUUUAUGACGUCGGGAAUGCCAAGGUCUGAGUCCUUUAUGAUGUUCAGGGUGCCCCGGUCUCACCCCGGGAGCCUCCUCGCUCCGGCCUGCUCCUGGCUACCCGGUGGGCGGCUCUGGCCCCAGCGACCCGCUACUGUUUCUCCAUGCGCUGCCACUUCGCAAAGGCACAUCUCUAGGUCAGUGGUCAGCUGCAGCCAGGGCGCUGCAACUCGCUCCAGGACUCGGGAAUCAGGGCCUUGGUGGGCCUCGCAGAGUGCUGGGUGUGUCGCCUGCGGGCUCCUCUUUUGGAGAAAGGAGGGAGGGAAAGGCCUUGUGAGACGACUCCAGGAGCGACCAGCGACCCCCACAAGGCCCAAGUCCUCCCAGCGCACUCAGAAACAGUCACUUAAAUGGCAAUAAGGUUGAGAAAGACUCUCCCGUGCCCCCGUGCUGGUGUAGUGGCUGUGAUUCAGUCCUUUCACCACCGCAUCCCGGGUUCGAUUACCGGUCAGGGAGUUGUUUUGCACUGACUGCCCACCCGCAGUAAUCUUUCUUUACUCCGCUGUCAGCCGGCCUGCUCCAAGAGCCAGAGGCAGAAGAGUCUCCCUGCAAGGUGCAAACCCUGGCGAAGGAGGGCAAGUCCUGGUGGACGGCCUCUCAUGACACACCCUCUUAUUUAUCUCCGUGUCCACCAUUCGCAGAAGGGGCUUUAGAGAGCGACUGAGCGUCUCGCUCAGGUGUACACCACCGUGCAGAGAUGGCAGCUCUCCUGGAGGUGUACCCAAGAAGCCCACCAUCUUUGCCGCCUCCGCCAUCCCAGAGGCGCCGAUUGGGCUGAGCUGCAAAUAACUAAGAGAGAGAGAGGCCAAGCCAAGUCGUGGCGUUUGUGUGCGGCACACGUCGUCAGCUGACACAGGCGGUCAGCUGAGCCUCCUCACCUCAGUUCGCAGCUAACAUGCUUCUUAGGCCUUCGGAAGAGGCGACAGGAGGCGAUGGCCGCGAGGUUGGGAGGGGGGUGAGCGGCGGGUGAGGUCCUCCAGGACCGCCCAUUUAUUGACUGGGUGGUACAGGAGGGCGAUGUUCGCUUACCCAACAACGACAGCAGGUGGAGUAGGCACUAAUGGAAAACUGUGGCCGGUGCCCUAAGCAGAAGGCAGGUGUAAAAAUCACUAGGACAUCAAAGGGAUAGUACCACAGUCAAAUCCCGCAAUGUCUGUCUACACUCUACCAAGCAAUUGUGCACCCUCCCCCUUUUCCAUUCAGUACUCCCAAGAAGGGUUGGGACGAACCCUGUGUCCACUGUAAAGCUCAGGGGAGAGCGGGAGCGAGGGAGGUGAAGUGCACAGACUGGGCAGAGGCGGCGGGCAGAACUGCGGGGGUGAGAGGGCGCGGUGGCUGCGGGGCGGGAGCCUCUGCUGAAAGGAGGCCUGGGUUGUCCUGUGGGUGACUGUUGGUGGAAUCUUUGGCAGCGAGUGGUUGGAAGAAUGGCGACGGGCGAGCAGAGGGGAAGGUGGUGACCCUGAGCGUCUGGCUAGGGGAGAGGAGGCUGUACUGACACUCGUCUCCUCUUACCUGGCGAGGGACAGACCGUGGUCAAGAAGGGAGCUCUCCCUGGUUGAGGCUAGUCCACCACACUCCAGCUGCUCUGACCCCUGCGAUUUCCCUACACGCGGGGCGCUUGUCUGCGGUGGUGUUUGCGCUACCCGGGGGCUGGGUUCACGCAGGCUCCUGACAGUCCUUGGCUCACCGCCCCCGACGCGGAUAUCGCCGCUAGAGACCCUUCCGCCACCCUCCUAGGGAUCUUGAGGGCCUUCCUUGUUGUUCCGACUGAAGCUCACGAACAGACAGAUGUGAGCUCUCUGUCUUUUACACGUUGAAUUUGGCUAUUGGCAAAAAAAGCCCUGACCCAGAGCUUGGGACUCCUCCCGGCCUGCACACGACUUCCCGACUCUUGCCUCCUAGCGCGGCUCUUGGCUAGCGGGCGGGCAGCCUCCACCCAGCGUAGAACCGCGGCAGCCGCAGCCCCCGCAGGCUGGCGGUCAGACACUAGCAGGAAAAGGGACACAAGGCCUGCGUGGUGGGAAAGCAUGGGAGACGUCGCUUUCCCACCAGGCGAGAAGGUCUCCCUACAGUCUUUGGACAGAAGAUGGAGGGAGGCACCCCUUCCAGGAGCAAGGCGGCUGCUCCUGAGGCCUGGCUCCGCACGGAGGCUCCUGGGUCCCGCGCGCCCUCUCCCUACCGGUUAUAGCCAGAGCUGCUUCACACAUCUCAGCCGGCUUCCUCUUCCGCCUCUGCCACCUCUUCCUCCCCAGCUCGUGGGAAAGACCUAGCCUCCUCUCCAACACUUGGAGAGGGAGUUGGAUGAACGUCUCCUAACCCCAGUAGGACAGAGAUCCUGAGGUAGGAGGGGACCCCUUGCCUUGCUGCUUCUUUUGGCACCGCUGACCCGGGCCCAGGACUCCUCGCUCCUCCUGGAAGGCCUGGGUCGUGUAGCCCACAGAGGUGGCCACGUGGGCAUCUCCCCCACUGCUCCUCAUAGAACCGGAGGCAUUAUCCUGCCGGGCCCACUCUUACCCAUGAAAGAAACUUGGGAAAUGCUCCCGGGGAAGCCGGGGAUCUGGGCGCUCGACCACUUCGGUGUGAAUCUUCCGUCCGCUCAUCCUUCCUUCGGAGGGUCUUGGGGAGAGGAGAAAUGCUCAAGGACGAUGCGCUUUGCAGCGUCUCAAGGGAAACUAGAUCUCAACGGAUACCAGAAGUCUGGAGCGUCUUCCUGGAGGAAGGCGGCCCGAGGCCUGCGGUUGCAGGGAGGCUUGCGGAGCACAGCGCCCUCUCUCAGCCUGAGCUAUCCAGUGGCUUCCAGCAUCCCAGCUGGCCGACUCCACUUCCUCUCUCUUCCUCCUACUGCGGGUCUUCUUCUUCUCUUUGGGGACCGAAUCUCGCUCUGUCGCCCAGGCUGGAGUGCAGUGGCGCGAUCUCGGCUUACUGCAACCUCCGCCUCCCGGGUUGAAGCGAUUCUCCUGCCUCAGCCUCCCGAAUAGCUGGGACUACAGGCGCGUGCCACCACGCCCGGCUAAUUUUUUGUAUUUUUAGUUGAGACGGGGUUUCACCCUGUUAGCCAGGAUGGUCUCGAUCUCCUGGCCUCUUGAUCCGCCCGCCUCGGCCUCCCAAAGUGCUGGGAUUACAGGCGUGAGCCUCCGCGCCCGGCCUACUGCGGCUCUUCUAUCCUGGUGUUCUUUGAAUGCCUAUCUUCCUUUUGUGCCACAGAACCUCUCACGCCCGCCACAGGUUGCUCAUUUCCUUGGUUGUUCUGAACUUUAAAUAAGUUAAUGUAUGUAAGAGUGCCAUAAAUGCUCAGUAAUUGACAUCUGUUAUUUUCAUCAGUAACAUCAUCUGAAUCAUCUGUAUUGUCUAUUUUUAACAACUGCAUUUUUCAUUGUCCAAAUAAAGUCACAUACAUUUGAACAUUAUAUAAUGAUUGAAUAAUAAAAUUAUUCUGCUAUUUUACAAUAAAAA
rnacentral:lncRNA from 1 species